CUCGCUAACUGACCGGGAGGAGCCGCCGCCGUCGCCGCCUGGUGGUGAGGGGCGGAACCACCUGCACGACUACACACCGAUUUAACGGAAGACGUCACCGGAGAAAAAGCAGAGAAGUCGAUCUGGAUGACGAAGCCAGGGAUGUCCUUACAGUAACCAAUCCGGUUGAGGGAUGGUCCAAGAGAGAGGUCGUAAAAAUCCACAGCACUUUCAACUGAACCCACUGCCAAGAACCGAUUGUCUGGACUGAACCUGAUCCACAAGAAAAUCCCGACAAUAUGUUUCAUUGACUGAGACGGUGAGGGAGUUAACCAGCAGGACGAUGAACUCUCCGUUUUCCAUGCCGAUGGAAACCAUCUCUCCGUUGGGGCUGUAGGAGGUGCACUUGGCAGGAUGACCCAAACUCACCUUGUUCAGGAGUUUCUAACACAGAAACCAAGAUAACAGAACAUAUGAGCCAAUCGGUUCAACUGUGGAAACACUCAAGUCUCCUCCCUCAGUCUUCAAACCUGUACCUUAUCUGCCAGGUCCCAUAUUCGGAUGGUCCCGUCAUCACUGGCGGAGAUGAAAACAUCUUUGAAAGGACAGACCGGACGUUUUCCACUGGCUGGCCGGUCUCCAGCUGAAAUGCUCGGCAGCGUUUCAUCUCCUGGUCCCAAAGCUUCACGGCGCCACCCUCUUUAGUCCUGUGAAACAC